UACGGAGGGAGCGAGCGUUGUUCGGAAUCACUGGGCGUAAAGGGUGCGUAGGCGGAUUAGCAAGUCAGGAGUGAAAUCCCCGGGCUUAACCCGGGAACUGCUUUUGAUACUGCUAUUCUAGAGUUUGGCAGAGGUUGGCGGAAUUCCUAGUGUAGAGGUAAAAUUCGUAGAUAUUAGGAGGAACACCAGUGGCGUAGGCGGCCAACUGGGCCAUUACUGACGCUGAGGCACGAAAGCGUGGGGAGCAAACAGG
rnacentral:rRNA from 1 species